rnacentral:rRNA from 1 species
AUAACAGUUAGAAAUGACUGCUAAUACCGCAUAAGCGCACAGCAUCGCAUGAUGCUGUGUGAAAAACUCCGGUGGUAUGAGAUGGACCCGCGUCUGAUUAGCUAGUUGGUGAGGUAACGGCUCACCAAGGCGACGAUCAGUAGCCGACCUGAGAGGGUGAUCGGCCACAUUGGGACUGAGACACGGCCCAAACUCCUACGGGAGGCAGCAGUGGGGAAUAUUGCACAAUGGGGGAAACCCUGAUGCAGCAACGCCGCGUGAGUGAAGAAGUAUUUCGGUAUGUAAAGCUCUAUCAGCAGGGAAGAAAAUGACGGUACCUGACUAAGAAGCCCCGGCUAACUACGUGCCAGCAGCCGCGGUAAUACGUAGGGGGCAAGCGUUAUCCGGAUUUACUGGGUGUAAAGGGAGCGUAGACGGCGAAGCAAGUCUGAAGUGAAAGCCCGGGGCUUAACCCCGGGACUGCUUUGGAAACUGUUUUGCUAGAGUGCUGGAGAGGUAAGUGGAAUUCCUAGUGUAGCGGUGAAAUGCGUAGAUAUUAGGAGGAACACCAGUGGCGAAGGCGGCUUACUGGACAGUAACUGACGUUGAGGCUCGAAAGCGUGGGGAGCAAACAGGAUUAGAUACCCUGGUAGUCCACGCGGUAAACGAUGAAUGCUAGGUGUUGGGGAGCAAAGCUCUUCGGUGCCG